rnacentral:rRNA from 1 species
GACAGAGGGGGCAAGCGUUGCUCGGAAUCACUGGGCGUAAAGGGCGCGUAGGCGGCCGAGCAAGUUAGAUGUGAAAGUCCUGGGCUUAACCUGGGGACUGCAUUUGAUACUGCUUGGCUUGAAUUCGGGAGAGGAUAGCGGAAUUCCCAGUGUAGAGGUGAAAUUCGUAGAUAUUGGGAAGAACACCGGUGGCGAAGGCGGCUAUCUGGACCGACAUUGACGCUGAGGCGCGAAAGCGUGGGGAGCAAACAGG